ACAAAGGGAUCAACACAGAGACAGAUAAGCACAGACACGGCUAGAGGGAGAGAGGGAGGCAGAGACUCACACAAGGAUGAAGAAAUAGGAACGACAAGGAGAAAAAGGAGAGAAAGGAGGCAGCGGCAACUCGUGCUCAGCCGCGAGACCUCGAGUUCAGCCCCUCUCUCGGCGCCCUCGAUUCCUCUGCUUCUCCCUCUCUACGUAACUCUGUUCUGCCCGUUUGGUUCUGUCUGCUUGCGGCUCUAUCGUGCAGGUAAUUGGAAGCUCGACGGCCUCCAGCUCGCCUUUUUCCCUUUUCGGGCACUUCCCCUGCCAGAUGUCGCGGCCGCUGCAGCUCCCUGCUCUUCCUCCGACCAGCAGCAGAGCCGUCCUCGAAAGAGAGGACUCGAUGACAUUCCUUGCCCCUGAUCUAGACUGUUCACUCGUGGACUGUUAUGUUGCGGAUGCUGUCCCUAUUGUUUUAGAGACGUUUUGCUUGGCUUUGACGACUGGAAAUCAUGCUUGAGUGCUGAGUCGAUUGAUUAGAUGGUUCUUGGUUCAAUUUGGCUGCGAUUUAGAUCGGUUUGGACGAUUCGAGGUUGGGUUUGAAGUAGGAAUGAAUCAUAUGAUGCCUCUUUGUUUAAUUUAGGAGAUUUUAGCUUGAUCUUGACAGUUUAAUCUUGAGUUGAAGUUGUGGACUGAGUUCCAUAUCAAUCCCUUGUUCUCUUGAUCAAUUUAUGCUUGUUCAAUUAGAAGUUAUGCUUAAUGCAUGAGCUAUAUUAUAUGAUAAUGAAUUGGACGAUUUGAGGGUUUUGACACCCUUUUAAUUACUAAAGGAAGUGAUUAAGGUGUAGGCUGAGUUGCCUAUCAAUCCUUUGUUCGACUUAAAGAUGAUUCUACACGUUUAUGAUGACUUUAUGUUAUAUCUAAAUAUGUGGCUGAAUUGACUAAUAGAGGGAUGAUGAUAUUUGCUUAGUCUCAGGUUGAGUUUUGGGUGCUUGUUUAGUUGAUUGAUCCUCUGUUUGGCUGAUCUCGAUUUGGAGCGUAGCCUAGAAUAAAUUAUAGAUGCCUCUAGAUGCCUGAUUACUUAUAUUUGGGUCUUCGUAAGAUCGAUUUAAAUAAUCUUGCAUGUUGUUCAGUCAUGAGUGUGGCCUAUAGAGGCUCGUUUCGGUCACCUUCAUGGCAUAUGGUAAGUUCUCUUCAUUCCUAUAUGCCUUGAGGUCAUCCUCCCCGGCUUUUCAUGCCAUUUCAGAUAUUCUAGGGUCGAAUUAAGGGACAUUUGAAUCAGGAUCAUAGUUGAUUUGAGGAUCUUGGAACUCACUUUUGUUAAGUCUAUCUUGAACUCGUUCCAUUGUUCAUAUAUUUGCAUUUGUCCUGAUUCUCUCGUUUCUCUUUCUUUCUUUCGCAUGUCUCCUGAGCAAGAGGAGAAGAAAUGAGGAGAGACGAAAGUUGUAUAGCUUUAAUGAAGGGGUUGGCUUAAGUUCGCGCAAAGAUCGGAAAGCAACAGUCUGCUUAAUAUUAUUUCAGGUGGACGUUUCCAUCUUGCAUCCAACCUAAGGGAAAUGUUUGGAAAUGGCUUGCCUAGAAGAAUGGGAAGAUCUUACAACCGAAAGGAGUUUUUAUGUUGUUUUAUAUAACUUAGAUAGUUAUUCUAAAUGAGUAUAUAUUUAUAAAUAUAUAUCCAUUUAUUUGAAUUGAGUGUCUUGCCUAUGUAAAAUUUACUGUUCUUCGAUCGAUAUAAGAUGACUAAUCGUAAUUGGAAUAUUUGGGUGACUUUUAAUUCCUAAAGAGAGAUAUUGAUUAUUAA